rnacentral:rRNA from 1 species
CCUACGGGAGGCUGCAGUGGGGAAUAUUGGACAAUGGGGGGAACCCUGAUCCAGCCAUGUCGCGUGUGUGAAGAAGGCCCUCGGGUUGUAAAGCACUUUCAGUGAGGAAGAACGCCUGGUGGUUAAUACCCAUCAGGAAAGACAUCACUCACAGAAGAAGCACCGGCUAACUCCGUGCCAGCAGCCGCGGUAAUACGGAGGGUGCGAGCGUUAAUCGGAAUUACUGGGCGUAAAGCGCGCGUAGGUGGCUUGAUAAGCCGGUUGUGAAAGCCCCGGGCUCAACCUGGGAACGGCAUCCGGAACUGUCAAGCUAGAGUGCAGGAGAGGAAGGUAGAAUUCCCGGUGUAGCGGUGAAAUGCGUAGAGAUCGGGAGGAAUACCAGUGGCGAAGGCGGCCUUCUGGACUGACACUGACACUGAGGUGCGAAAGCGUGGGUAGCAAACAGGAUUAGAUACCCCUGUAGUC